AUGGGGCAGGCGCCGCCGUCCAUCCCGCAGGCGGCCGCGGGGGCGACGUUCUUUGCCGCCUUCCUGGCCUUGCUGGUCUUGGACUUGCUCCGCUUGAUCUGGCCGAUGCACGACACCUUGGGCGACGAGGCCUCGGGCGUCCGGUACCCGCUGCCGCCCCCCUGCUUACUACCGCCCCGCCUCCUGCCGCCGCCGCCGCCGCGCGCCUCGGGCGGCACGAUGGAGACCAUGGGGCCGGAGAAGGCGUUGCGGUGGUUGAAGGACGCCUUGCCGCCGCCGGCGGGGCGGGAGCCGAAGGUGGUGGCCGUGGAGGAGGAGAAGGAGGCGGCCGUGGACCUGAGGAAGGACGCCAGCGCGCCGCUCCUGGUCCUCGCGUGCUUCUUCGUCGGCUUCCUCUCCAUCGCCUGCUUCUGCCGAGACCUGGACGCGCUAGCUAGCUAUAGAUUCUUGGCCGAUGAGCUCGAUGGAUCGUUUGCUUUUCAGCCUUUGUCCUUUGUACCGUGUACUGGUCCUGGUUAUAUACGACGGGCGUUGGCCGGGCACCGGAGGAGGAGGCAGGACGGUUGGUGA
rnacentral:rRNA from 1 species